AAAUUGAAGAGUUUGAUCAUGGCUCAGAUUGAACGCUGGCGGCAGGCCUAACACAUGCAAGUCGAACGGUAACAGGAAGCAGCUUGCUGCUUCGCUGACGAGUGGCGGACGGGUGAGUAAUGUCUGGGAAACUGGCUGAUGGAGGGGGAUAACUACUGGAAACGGUGGCUAAUACCGCAUAACGUCGCAAGACCAAAGAGGGGGACCUUCGGGCCUCUUGCCAUCAGAUGUGCCCAGAUGGGAUUAGCUUGUUGGUGAGGUAA
rnacentral:rRNA from 1 species